ensembl:lncRNA
GACCCCAUGGCAUGUAACCUGCCAAGUGCCUCUAUCCAUGGGAUUUCCUAAGCAAGAAUACUGGAGUGGGUUGCCAUUUCCUUCUCCAGGGGAUCUUCCCCACCCAGGGAUCAAACCCACGUCUCCCGCAUUGGUAGGCAAGUUCUCUACUACUGAUCACCAGGGAAGCCCAUACGUGUGUGUGUGUGUAUACAGAUAUAGAUAUAAUUUUAUAAGAAUGGUUUAUGUUUGUAUUUAUACUAUUAUAUACAUUUUAUCGGGCUUCCCAGGUGGUGCUAGUAGCAAAGAACCUGCCUGCCAAUGCAGGAGAUGUAAGAGAAAUGGGUUUGAUCCCUGGCUCAGGAAUAUCCCACUCUAGCAUGGCAACCCACUCCAGUAUUCUUGCCUAGUAAAUCCUGCAGACAGAGGAGCCUGGUGGGCUAUAGUCCAUGGGGUUGAAAAGAGUCAGACACGACUGAAGCAAUUUAGCAUGCAUGUACAUACAUUUUACUAUAUAUUUAAAAUAUGUGUGAAUGUGUAUACACACAUAUUUAAAAAGUAGGUAAGAGUAAUUUCUUUAGAUAACUAGUAAUACCAGACAAAAUUCUUCUUAUCAUAUUUUAUGUAUUUUGAUUUAGAUAAUUUUACACUUUAUAAGUUUCUUUUAUAAGACUUUUGACUCCAAAAGAAGGCAAUUGGUUACAAGAGCCUAAAGAGAGAGAAAAGGGAAUGGGAACCAGAGUUCCUGACUCUAGGCAAGUGGACACGUCUGUGACCACCGGAAAUCUUCUGAAGAGUCUCUGUGUCAUUCAUGUGGUCAUUUUCUCUUGUGAUCACAUUACAGAAAUUUUUAGCAGGUGUGAUUUCAGCCUGGAAGUCAAGAUGGCCAGGAGACAGUUGGGACCCCAACUGCUGGGCGGGGAUGCCAUGGCCCCAUGUUUAUCAAAGCAGUGGUGGUAUCUUUGUGGCCAAACUGGAACGGCGUAGUUGGUCGGGAGACAGGAUACCUAGGAGUCAGGCCUGACUUUACCUCCACAGUGUGAUCUUGAGUGAGUUAUCCAUCCUUCCUGAACUUCAGUUUCCUUGAUUAUGAAAUGGCGUGGAUACUGAUUCUUGCCCCUUCCCAGCAACAUGCUGAUUUGCUGCCCAAGAAUCUUGUCAAAAUUUCUUGUUCUACUCAGUGAUCAGGAGAUUUUGGAGACAAGCUAAUGAUCCUUUUAGUGACCUAACCUAGUGUGGUGAAACCCCCCGUACUGAUUCUGAGCUUCUUUCUUCUCUUGUAUAUUCAGACUCUAAGUUGUUUUUAACAUCACCUAAGAUACUGUCUUUAUUUUCUAAAUCCCAUGUAUAUCAUAACUGCUAAGAAACUAUUCUUGUACAUAAUAGAAUCUAACCAGAGAGGGACAGGACAAUUCUAGAAUUUUCCUGGAGGGAACUUAGGAAUUCACCUAAUCUAAUCUUCUCAUUUUAUAGUUGUGGGAACUAAUGAUCUGAGAGGUAAAAUAUCUUGUCCAGAGAUAAGCAGAGAACUCAUGUCUCUUUAACUUUUCAUUUCUAUGUUCUUUCCAUUGAUUCAUGUGUCUCGGGAUCACUGUAAACCAGAAAUAUAACUUAAUGUUCUAGAAAGCAGACUAGACCAGGGUGUAUAAGCCUUUGAUUUUCCCCAGGGCCAGAUUUGAACUCUGUGCACAUCCUGGCCAGCGGGGUUGUAACAUUCUCAUGAAGGAUGAAGAACUCAGGGUUGUCAGAGCCUCUUCUUUGCCCCUUCUUGCCCCAUAAGACCCAGUCCAGAAUCUGGAUCCAACUGAACUCCUGCCUUUCUAUGUUUAUUUUGGAUGAGGUUGCAUUUGCCCUUUAUCCUGUAGGGCUUACAUUUUAUCUUCCAGUCGACUUUCCUCAUUUUAUAUUCAACAUUCCUGAGAAUCUGCCUUGUGAUAUGUCAUGGUGCGAUGGGCUAGAUACACAGUCUUCACCGCAGUCACAGUGCAACAGGUCCUGAAUAAGAGUUGCUUGCAGUGCUCGGGGCCUCUGAGGAAAGAGAGACUGAAGUCAUCCAAAGGAGACAAGGAAGAGAGCAGACAGCGUAUUCAUUCUCCUUUCUUGUCAGCACAGAAAGGUUCAUUCUGUGCAGUGGUAUUUUCCAGACUAAUGUCUUCCUUGUUUUCAGUAGAAGAAGAGGAGGAGGAAUAUGUCAGACCCUCUCCCCGCACCCCGCCCCCUGCCCCCCACCCACCUGCCCAUCUUCAGGUCUGCUUCGGUCUUACUUGGCUUGUUUUCCAUGAAUUGUCUGAACCAAGCUGCUUCCUGAUCCUUCACUCAUUUCUUACCACACGAUGAAAAACAGUCACCAGGGCCCAGAGAUACACAUGUAUCAAUAUAUAUGUAGAUGAGUUGGAAGGAAGAUAUGUCCACCCAGUAUUUCCUCCCUUACUUUAGUUUUCUGAUCUGUUUUCUCUGCUUUUUUAAAAAACUUGACAACUAGAUACCUAGAUGUUUCCUAGAAACACCCAAAGCAUUAUUAACGCUUUAAACAGAAUCUAAACACCAGCCAGAUGUUCUGUUUAAUUUUCCAAAUACUUUUUCUCCUUCCUUACCUUAGAAGCUUUCUCUCUUUUCCAUGCAGUUCAAGAUAUGGAUUUUGAGUCACUAUGCUCAUGGCAGGAGAAGAAAAUCAUCAUUUAAAGGUUGAUCAUGUCUAUAUCACCAGUCCACAGGCCUGAGUUAUAUAACAUUAUAACCCUAGAUGAGGUUAAGUUCCCAGAAAUGUACAGAAUGAGCAAUAAUUUGUAAAGCACCCGUUACGUGGCAGGCACAGUUCUAAGCACAGUAGAAUCAGAAUCGGCAUGCUUGCAGGUGAACCCCUUGCAAACUUGAGCAUAUAGACCCAGAAGUCCAUAAACUGAACAGUCCAGAGGAAUGGGGGUAGACAGUCAGGCUAUCACGGUGAAUCUUCAAAGACCUAAGAAUGCUGAAAGAAUUUACUCAGCCUCCUCUAGUGUGGGAAUGCAAGUUGGCCUCAAAUUGUAGUUGGUUUGCUCCAGGCUGGCCAGCACUGGAGCGCACCGUCCAGCAUUCCUGGAGGGCAAAGUAUCAGACUGCAGGCGACGAGCCUGGCUCCCUCCAACAUAGUUCUCUGUGGCCCUCGUGUCAUUGCUCACUGCAGCAUGGAGAGAGUCCUUGAGAAGUGUCAAACACGGCAAAUAUAAAAUCUCGGAGGUAGCAGCUUCGACCCUUAAAACAUUCCUUGGCUUCUCCUCAGAGCGCUCCCAAUCCUCUGCUCUCUGCUUUCAUCUCUGCAGGAAUUCUGGUACCGUGCUGCACCUCAGUCCCAAAAAACAUGUUUGAAAAUGUUUCUGUGUUUUAGUUUUUCUAAUUCCGCAUGCUCAGCAUUUUUGGAACUCACCUAUUUUACAAAUGCUCAAGUAGACACAAUCGUAUCUUUCUGGAAGCUCUUCCCAGCUGCUCUAUUGUUAGUUAAUAAUGGGGGAAACCAAGGUGUCCAGAGCAUGAUAAUACUUUUGUUUGUUUUGUUUUUAAUUAUUUUUAAUAGAAGGAUAGUUGCUUUACAGAACUGUGUUGGUUUCUGCCAUACAUCAGCAUGAGUCAGCCUUGGUGUCCAUGCGUCCUCUCCCUCUUGAACCUCCCCGCCACUUCCCACCCCAUCUUACCCCUCUGUGCUGUCACAGAGCCCUGGCUUGAGUUCCCUGAGUCAUACAGAAAACUCUCACUGGCAAACUGUUUUACAUAUGGUAGUGUGUAUGCUCCCAUGCUUCUCUGUUUGCCCCACCGUCUCCUUCGCCCCGCUGUGUCCACAAAUCUGUUCUCUAUAUCUGCGUCUCCAUUGCUGCCCUGCAAAUAUGUUCAUCGGUACCAUCCCAGAGCAUGAUCAUUCUUAACGAUACUUUCGAUUUACAGCAGACUCAAUCUGGAUGAACCUGAGGCAGUUCAUACAUACUAGUUCAUCUUUCCCCACAACAGCUGGUUCAGAGAUCUAGAUUCUCUUCUUGGUUCUCCAAGAAUCCUUCUUGGGGAAAUAUACUUAGCCAUGAACAGCCUUGGUUCCCAACUAUGAAACAGGAAUAAUGAUAUGAGGGUGUUUGCUUCCCUGCUUCCUUGUCCUAACCCUUUAGAAAGUAAACAGGUUUAAAAGAUCCAAAAAGUCUGAGAUUGAAGGAGUUAUGUCUUAACUUUAUGACCCUUAAUGGAAAAGUGAGAGAGAGUAUUAGAAACUUGACUGGAAACCCUGAAAUCUGAAUUGUAAUUGAUUCUCCUCUUUUUUUAAUAUUCCUGUAUUGGCUGCCCAGGGUCUUAGUUGUGGCAUGUGGAAUCUUUCAGCUGUGCCAUAUAAACUGUUAGUUGCAGAAUGUGGGAUCUAGUUCCCUGACCAGGGGUUGAACCCAGGCCCCCUGCAUUGGGAGUGCACAGUCUUAGCCACUGGACCACCAGGGAAGUCCCUCAAUCUCUUCUUGAUAAUGGGUCACUGCCCUGGAUGGAUACCUCUCUCUUUUAAAUGGAGAGAGUACUGAGCAAUACAGUAUAUCAAUAGAGUAUUGCAAAGUGCUCAGAGAUCCAGAGAUGGCGAACACAGUAAAAGGGGCCCAGUCUUCUAAAGAGCAUGACUUUGGUCAGCAAAGAUGCCUUUAGGGACCAUAGAAUCAAUAGGACUAAAUGUAAGGUAAGUACAACCUCCAGGCUCUGCAGCAAUUUCAAAGAAUAUGCACACUCGAGACUGAGUCCCUAGCCUGUACCGUUGCACGUCAUCUCUGGACUCUCAGCCUAGUAGCCUUAAUCUUCCCAGAUCUCAGUGGGUAGAGAUGCCUCAUUGCUUGCCAGCCUAAACCUAAUGACUGAAUAUAAGGGACCUAGACUGAAGUAAAACUUGGCUCUUAGAUGACACACAGCAGCCAAGAGUAAUGAUCUUUAUAAUAUCAGGUUCAAUUCUCUUAGUGCACAGGUAAUAGGGAUCUCGCCUUUUAGAAGGGCCUGGAUCCUCAUCCUCUUCCUCUCCCUUUCUCGCUCAGUUUACCCACUAUUAUACAGGAAUGAAAGAUUUUUUCUUUUACUUUCUUGGAUCCAAAAGUCCAGUGAAACCUACUUCCUCAAAUUGCUAGAAUUAGGCACUAAGCAAUGGACAGUAGUAGACUAUGUUUCAGAGAACUUCACAGACCAUGAGGGUCGAUCAGAUAAAUUCCAGCUCCUCUAUGGAGUUAAGGCUAGAAACCAGGAAAAGUCCUCUGAAACUCACCCAAUGAGGAGGCAACAAGAUUAUUUUAUAGAUUCAUAUCAAACAAUAUUGGGCUUCCCAGGUGGCUCAGUGAUAAUGAAUCUACCUACCAAUGCAGAAGACGCGAGUUCAAUCCCUGGGAAGGGAAGAUCCCCUGGAGAAGGAAAUGACAACCCACUCCAGUAUUCUUGCUUAGGAAACCCCAUGGACAGAGGAGCUUGGUAGGCUACAGUCCAUGGGGUCACAAAGAGUCGGACACAACUGAGUGAGCGUGCACACACACACACACACACACACACACACACACACCAGACAGUAUUAUUAAAUAUAUACACUGAAGCAUUAUCUUACCAUUGAUUUCCCCUAAUAUCCUAAAAGGUUAAAGGAAAGCAAAAAAAAAAAAAAACUUUCCAGUGGGCCACAUAUUUAGUGACAUUACUCAGCCUGAGACACCUGGAGCUGAUGUGAGUUUGAGGUAUAAAAUCCACCAGAUAACUCCUUUUGAAACCACUUGAAGUAUAGAAUCCCUGUACCAGACACUGCUCCCUACUGGUUUAAAUUUUCUUUGCUUUUGGACAAGGGCAUUGCUAACCAAGCAGCGCAUAACUAAGCUUCCUCUUCCUCAUCAUCCUAGGAAGAAUAGUAGGGAGUGUUUUUGUCCAUUGAUGAGCAACUCUUGCCAACAGAAGUUAGACAGUUCACAUCUAAAGCACACAGAUGGACUGUGUUAUCCAUCUGGUUCUCCCAUGAGAGAUGCCACCCACCCCGAAGGGUACAUCUUUAGAAACUGUGUUCCAGGUUAAUAUAGUGGAAAUUACCCCCGCUUGGUGAAGACAGUCACACAGUUGUAACCCGAUUCAGUGGUGUCUAAGCUCUGAAUGUGCAUGGAUGGCUGUCAGAGGACAGAUUGAAUGCUUGCCUGUGCCCCUUGCCCUCUAUUCAGAGACAGGGAUUCCUCAGAUGAAGACCAGCAGAGAAGCUAGCCUCCCUGGGGCACCACUUACCCGUACUUAAAUAUUCUUUCCUUAGGCAAAAAAAGGAAUUGUCCAAUCUUUUUGCCGGAAGACAUGCUAUGAAACCCUGGAGGCUUUAGGUCAAAGAGUCAUGAAGCAUUUCUACCUUCUCAGCCUCUCUUUCUGAAAUGAGGGCAUCUCAGCUGAGUUGCUGAUCUCAGAUCUGGACUCACCCACACCCUCUAAAGUGUAAGAGAUCUCUAUCCCUGUGUGUAGCUCAGAAUAGUCCUUCACGACCACAUCAUCCUGGAUGUGGCUUUAUCACGUGACGUUACCUCCUAAUUCCCAGAGAGGUGAGAUUUCACAUGAAAUUCAUCUGGCUUCCAACAGCACACCUUUGGAACUUUCAGAAGAGAUGAAAUAUAUCAAAUUGUUCUUUUUCAGAAACACAGACGUGGGUAUAGAGGGAACCUCUGUCAGAGUAUCAUCAUGGAUAAAAAGAAUGCUAUUCACCAUUAGUUAAAUGCUACUUUUAUGUGGCAUUUUACUAAGCAUUAUUCCCAAGGCUCUUUAGACAUGAAUCCAGAUCUCUCCAAAAGUUACGAUCAAAACUGCACUUACUGGGGGAGAAUGGAUACAUGUGUGUGUGUGGCUGAGUCCUUUCGCUAUUCACCGGAAACUGUCACAGCAUUGUUCAUCAGCUAUACCCCCAGUACAAAAUAAAAGGGUUUAACAAAUUACAUUUACGUGAGUGUAAAAGUUCAUUCAAAAACUACUUGUUGAGCUCCUGCUACGUGCCAGGUGCUGGGUACUGGGAAUACAACCAUGGCCGUGUCACAGCCCCAUCUUCAUUCACCUUUGUCUUUGGAGGUGAAGAUAGCAGAGUAUUUAGGCAGAGCCAUUGCCACAGCAGUGUCCUCUGUCCUCUGGCUAAGGAGAUCACACUGCCCAGCACAGGGCCUGAUAUAUAGUCAAGCACUCAAUAUAUGUUAUUAGAUAAAAUGAACUAAAUGAAAAAAAUGAAUAAAUGCUAAUAUAAAGUGUAGAGUAUGCCAUGCAUAAUACAUAGAAACUAGACUAAUUUGAGAUGAUUACCUAUAGAAAGUGUCAUUUACACUGGGCAAGGCAAUAAGAGUAUACUGACGGAUAAGAAGGGAACGAUCAUACUUAAGGAGUUAGACCUGUGUUCAAAUCCUAGCAGUGACACUCAUGAGCGGGACAAUUCUAAUUAUUCCAAACCUCAUCUGUAAAACACUGAUGAUGGCUUUCAAGGCUGCUCUGAGGAUUAAAUGAGAUAUUAGUUAUCUAUAUCCGUCUAGCUCACCAAAGAGCUCCAAUAAUAGCUUAAGGAGUCACAGAGAGCAUAAGUGUAACAGUAAACCACAAAGCACCCAAGUAGUAAGGUUAACAGCACCAGUAUUUUGAGCAUCAGAGAUCAACAAAAAGCUUAAAAUCAUGGUGGAAGCAAGGGAGAGGUGCCACCUCUCUUAGCCUCCAGCCCACACAAGCCUGGAGGGAGCAGGUGACGUGCAGGGUUUUAUCUCCCCCCUCAGGGUCAUCCCAGAAGGAUUUCGUGUUCAACUUUCAGCUGUAGGACCACAUGGCACCUUGCUGUCACUGUUCACAGGAUAGUAAAUACCCUUCCAGUGUGCUCAUCACACCGCUGGCCUCCAAUCAGAGCAUGAACACGUGUCCCAGAGGCCGUCCAAGCAGAGAUUCAGCAGUGACUCCUAGGGUUAAUCCCCAAGACAACCUUGCUUUGAAAGAAAAAAUGUGGUGAGCCUACUUGAAGAUUUGGAUCCCAGAGGCCUCUUCUCUGUCCUGCCUCAGCCAGACACGGGGCAAAGAGACGGACGUUUACAGAGAAAGAAGCAGUAAGUUCUUGUUGUUGCUUGUUUUCAAUGUUUGAUUGCUCUCCAGAUUUAGGGUCCCUGAAAGCAAUGGGCUUUUCUUUUCUUCUUUUUCUCUCCUCUCUCUCUUUUUUUCUUUCUUCUCCUGCAGAAAUUAAUAAUAUCCCUUUCCCAUCCUGCGGGUGAUUCAUAAAAGCAAUUGCAUUAGAAAGUGCUUCUCCGUUGCUGCUUGUAGCCUGGGUUAAAGAUAUCUGAAGUUGAUCUGUGUGUGCCUGUUCGCAAUACUGUAAUAUUUGGAAAUGCAUCUGCAUUUGUGAAAAUGAUUUGUACUGAUGAUUCUUCCCUAGAAGAAACACUACAUAGCUGGCUGAUUGAUUGUAAUGAUGAUGAAUUUGUCCCUGGACUGGCAUGGAUGUUUUCUUUGGGGAUUUUUGUGCCUAUUUGCUACUCAUCAAGGGGAAGCACAGACCGAGUUUGGAAUGAGGGUGUGGUCCGCCUGAUUCAGCUUCCUUCCCGGCCCAUCUCUGACUCCUGCCUCCUGCUCCUCCCCUCCCACCCUGGCUCCUCCGAUCCUUCCUGAGACUGUCAGUGAAACGGCAUCCACCUUUCUUUUCCCUUACUGCCUGUGUUGUGCUCCAUCAGGUCAGAGACCACUCCCUGUGAUCAAACUCAUCACGUUUGUGAUCUCAGCAUAUUUUCAAUCCAACUGAAAUCAACUCCUUUAGCUUCUUCCAUCCUGGGAUUAUUCAUCAACAUAGUAAGAGCAAUAAUAAUACUGUAUUUAGAAGUUCCUUAGCACAUUGCAUCUCUGAGAGUCUUACAGAUGUUACUAAUUAAUCUUCACAACACCCCAUCCAGGAGCGGUAAAUAUUAAUAACCAUAAUAGAAUAUACACACACACGCACACGUGCACACACACACACACACACACACAUAUGCUAAGGACAGCAAAAUAGUUCACUUAUUUAUCAUGGUUCACUUGAUACAGUAACUGAUAUUUUUGAGGCACCCAUCAUAGAUACAAUAAUUAGAGAUGUGCUUUUGUUAACAAAACCACUACCCACUUCUAGCGUACCCUUGGGUACUAAAUAAUUACCCACUUUGUGUGGUUAUCUAGCUCACUAAUUACCCACAGAAAUUGGGGUCAGGUGUUAACUGCUUGAAAUAAGUAUCCUCUAAAGACAUCGCUGAGUUGUAUAGAGAAAAUGAUGUGUUCAUAGCAAAACUUUGGUAAGUUACAUAUUUGUGUAUCUUGGUAAACAGAGUGAAUACAGACAGGGAUAGAUUAGCUCAGAGUGUGAAAAUCAUGCUGAGCCAUUGCUGCAAAUAUACAGAGGUUUUGGAGAAGCUCAGGAAAUGUCAUUCUCUAUCUACCUUUCCUUCGUGAAGAUGAUCACAAUCGUGAUUCCCAUAAUCUGGACUUCAUAUAUGAGGACACUAAGACAAUUGAUGAUUCUCCUUAGGAAUGAUUCAUUUUGGUGUUACAGGGAGGCACCCAGUGAGUCAAAGAUUUUUUUUGACAGCUCCACCCUUUAUGAUUAUUCUAGCAUGUUUCUUUUUCUGCAUCAGUGUAGUGCAAACAUCCUAUUAGCCAAAUCUGAAAAAGAUUCUAACCCAGUCUCCAAUCCCUGCCAGCCAUCUCUUUCUCCUUCCCAGUAAUGACAAAAAGAAAAAAAAAAAAAAAGGAAACCCAACACUGUGAUUGUAGGUCUUUCCCUUUUUGCCUUGAUUUGUUCUGCUUUCCUCUCUCCUCCUCUCCCUUCUUCCUCUCUCUGCAUCUUCUUCUUGUUUGUGCUUUUUCUUCUUUUCCUUGGCAUCCAUCUGUGCUUCUGCAGGUCUCACAGAGACAAAGCACAAUAUCUUGAGUUGAGCACAAAGAAACCACCUUUUAAAAACAUCAACUUGGAAGAAACCUGCAUCAUCAGCUACCUCCCUCCCUUCCUCGGUCUUUACAGAGCCUGGCAUUAUAUUCAACACAGCACUGCCUGUUGUCUGCAUGAUUCUAGCCACAAAAACUGGGUGAAGGUGGCACCAUACCCACUGUGUGUUCAGAUAGGUAGAGACCCCAGUUUUCAAGGGACACCUGCUUUACAGGAUCCUUGGGUAGCUGAGCUUUUAAGAUGUGUGCCAGCAAAAAUGAUAGGAGAUGCUCCCUUCGUCAGUUCAGGAUGUCUUUCAUUUUCUUCUUGUGCCACUUUUUUUCUGUCAUCUGAAUGAUUACUUCUCAUGAUCAGGGGACUGUCAGCUGAUCAAUGAAGUGUGUAUGGAUCUGAUGGACAUUUGAGGAGAAAUGCUUCAGGAGUAAGAAAAGAUGUCUGCAGUAGAAGCAGAGGGUCAGGAUGAGCUAUAGUCACUGAUACGUUCCCUUGGAUUUGGAAAUGAACUUAAGUGGUAAAUUAGUACACAAGACAAACAGAGUCAAUGUGUAAAGCACAGCCAUUGAAAAGAAAGAGAUUUUUAGCAUUGUAGUCACCACAUGCCUUAAUGGAGUGUAUACUUCAAAUACAGAUUUGAAUCACUGCUCUUGUAUCCCUCUAAAUGUCAGUUUCAAAGAAGACCUUGGGCAUUGUUGACUUUCUGUCCGUAAAGAAAACCCACCAAGAUUCACCAAGUACAUCACCUGCAGUCACACGCAUACGUGUUUUAAAUGCCCCUGGGAUGUUGAACAAUUAGGCAGAGAACUGCACUGUGGUCUCUUCUCUUCACUGCUCCCCUCCACCCCCCAUUUUUUUUUUCUUUUAGAAAAUGUGAUACCUGAUCUCUGGAUCUAGCAGGGAUGAGGGAUUUUUUGUUUUUGGAGGUUUUUUUUUUUUUUUUUUGUAUAAUACAAUGUCUGGCCUUCCCCCUGACCUGCUGGUGUAUUUUCGGUCUCAUUAGUAGUCAGAGAGAAGCCCUAGUGCAUCCGGUGCUGGGAGUCAGGUCUGAGACACAGGACAACAGAGAGAGGGAGCGGGCGAGAGGAUAUUAGAAGAGAGGCUUGUCUCCAAGAUAUGGAAGGAAGUGAGAAAUGACAGGACUGCAAGCUUUGUAUGCAGGAGCCUGGCAGGGCGGGGGGGAGCGGCGAGGAGCACAAAGUGGGUUCUCAGAAGCCCUAGAAGAGCUAAAGGUGAUUAGAAGGGGAUAUUGAUUCCUUAUUCUGCCAGCGAUUUAAGCAGGCAUGCGAGGAAUCCGCACCAUGGUUGCAAAAGGAGACCCACUGCCUCCUGUAACCAGACACUCAGGCUUUCCAGGAGCCCAGCGAGAGCCGAGAAGAAAGGGGGCAGUGUGGUCUAGGAAAAUUCAACUUGUCGCUGAUUUGUGCCUGAUGCUCGCUGUCCGUCAGCAGCCUCCCUUACAAUCUUUAUUUCCUCUCUCUCCCCCUUUUUUUUUUUUUUCUUGCCUUCUCCUUCUUCACUGAAGCCUAGGGGAGCCAGUAAAGAUUAAAUGUGCUUUCUCAAAGGCAGCCACUUCAUGCUGCUAUGUCGAAAAGGCCAUUAUUAUUAUUAUUAUUUUAAUAGUAAAAGAAGAAGGGAGAGAGGUUGAAAGAGAGAGAGAGAAGCUAGGUAGGAUGAUGACGGACUAGCUUUUCCGAGAGGAAAAGGGAAGGGAGAGAAAAAGCAGAGACCCUGAACGGAGGAUUGUGCCUGAGGAGAACCUACGGAGGCGGCACUGGGAGCCGUCCCCGCACAGAAAAGCCCAGUUUCCAGGCAGAUGGGGGAAGCGCCGAUCUAGCAGGUACAGAACCAGUAGCUGUCUGCGAAAAUGGAGGGGAAUUAUGCUUCGGAUUCCUCUGAAAUAUUGGCAAAAGGCUUCAAAGGAUCCGCAGUGGGAGCGGGGCGGGGGAGAUGCGCCUCCCUGGCUGGCGCCCACCCCUUCCCACUCCCCUCGACCGAGUGACAGCCUGGUGCUGGCUCGGGGUGGUUUGGCCUUGGCUUCAGCCAAGCAGCUGAUGCACAGGAGGCCUGUUCGCAGGACUGGCAAAGUGCACGCUAAAGAAAGAAGGAGGAAAUUUUGAAAAGCAACCCUGGGGAGGGUUCAUUCUUAUGAAAACAUUAAAAAAAAUUUUUUUAACUGAAUAUUCUCAAAAUUUGAUCAGUCCCAGCCCUUCUCUCCACUCCCACCGAAUUGUCCCCUACCUCCCCUCGUCAAAGCAUAAACUACAGAGUUACAGUCUCUAGAUUUGGUGUAUCGCUUCCUGCCCCCGCCUCCCCCUCCCCGCCCAGUUCUCGGUCCUCUAUUGAAACACCUCGCCCAGGCGAGCGCCCUGCAGCUCACAUUUCCCCCCCUGGCUCGGAUGGUGCUACGGGAGCUGCAGCCUGACUCCACUUCCAAUGGUCGUCUCCGUGUUCCUUUCAGCUGGUCCUAUAGUCCCCCUUCCUCAGGAAUGUCUUCCCAGUGAAACAACACAGACUGCAGAAACCUGUCCCGAUGGAUGCUAAAGCCAACUGCGAAGUGGAAACAAAGAACAGCAUCACCUGAAGACGUCUCUCCUGCCAGUCAGCACACCCAGAUGCUGCAGUUUUCACCCAGUAGCAUCUCAGAACAAGAGGCAAGCUUUUCAAGAAACAGAAACCCUUAAGAAAGCUAUCUAGAUCUCGAAUGAGCAAGGACUUUCCCUUCCUCAUGUGUAUUCCUCUGUUUGUAUUUAAAUUCUGUGUGACCUUCAUUUUUUUAAAAACUUUUUUUUCUAGUAUGACUAUGCUUAUUAAUACGCUAAUUUUUAAAAUAGAAAAUUGUUCGUGCCAGAGGUCGGUUGCAUGUUAGCCACACACAGAGUUUGACCUUAAAAGAAUGACUUAAAGAAUAUUGAGUUCUUUUGCAAUCACAGAAUAGUAGGAGGCAAUACAAAGGAUAAAAUGAUGAUGGGAACUCAGAAUGUGUCAUCGAAAUACAGUACCCACUGACACCAAACAACCAGCCUUCUUAUCAGGCAAGCUAGGUUCUGUGAGACAUAGUCACUGCCUCUAAGGAGUUUAAACCUAGUUAAACAGAAGCACAUAAACUUUUGAAAAGAGAAGUAACAGAUCAAGUCAAUUCAUAAGAGCAAAAUGAAAGAUAUAAGCAAGGAGCUCGGAGGAAGUCCACUUAGGCGGGGCAAACUGGUUUGUCUAGGGAAGAAAGUUCCUAAAGGAAGGAAAUACAAGGUGAAUUUUAAAGGAUGUUAAAGAUUUAUAUAAAUGGGAAGGAAGAACAUAGAAUCCUUUCUAUAGAUGCACUAUUGCGAGCAAAGUCAGAGAGGAAGGCAUCUACCUGGUGAUUUCAGGAAAUUAUGAAUGCACAGGUCCAGUUGACCAAAUCCCAGACUUCCAUUGCCAAUCUAUAUGUACAUACAUGGUGAAGACUUUACACACAUACUUCCCCUUGCCCACCUCAGGUGUAGACCGGAAUUACAAUCAUAUUUCUUCCAUUAAAAUAAGUGAGCGUGAUUGAUGAUAGUAUGAGGAUUUGUGAUUUUUCUGUUAGCCUAAUAACAGUGGAUAUUUAUUGAGUUCUCCCUACAUGUUAAGCAUUUUAUAUAGUAAUUCUCUUAAGCUUCACAACAACCCUGCAAAAUAGAUAUUAUUUUGUAUUUCCAUUUUACAUAAAGAAACCUGAGGUUUAAGUAACUUGCCAAACUGCUACAUACAGGGUUCACAAUCAGGACUGUGAUUUCAAAGCUCAUGAUCUAAGGCACUAAGCCACAGUGUUCCAAGUUUGUAAUUUUGCCACUUCUGUAUUCCUUGAUAUUUUUCUCUGGUAGACACAUAGCUAUUUUCUUUAAUUAUCUUCUCAAAAUUUUCAGUUUUCUGGUUGAACUAGCAUGGUGGAAUGUAUUUUCAUGACAGAAAUGGAAGCUACUGGGGAACAGAGUUUAUCAGCAUUUUAAGCUUUUUUUGGACCAGACUCUGAGGAGACUGUUAGCUUUGGUCAGCAUGAAAUCUUAACUUCUUGAGAACAAAAACAGGGGGUGGGGAGAGCUUAAAGGUCAUCUAUUGCAAUGUUCUUUCCUACAGAUGUGAUAAACCUGUAAAGAUAGAGCAACUUACAAAAGAUCGCUCAUUGGAAUAUAACAACUAGAUCCAGAAACCAUGCCCUCAGAGGCUCUUGAACUACACCACCCUGCCUAAAUGAAGCAUGAGCUUGAAUUUCACCAAUGGAAACAUUCUGUCUGGGUGAUCAAGGAGCACCAUACCAAGUACAUUGCUUCACUUUUGGCUACCUCUUUGGCUUUUCACUUCAAUGUGAAAAAUAGAUAGUUGUGAACUCACAUCUUUAGUUUCAAAAACUGUCAAUGGUCUAGCCGCAAAGAACACACAGCAGCCCAAGUUAUGUGUACAAUGUCUUCACUGAUAUUCUCAAGUUACUUGGCAUUCUUCCUUCACCUAAACCAGUCAGAUCUUCUAAUGAGCAUUUUCUUAACCAAAUUUAUACACAGUAUAUAGUCAUAAGAGUUUCUGCAUGAAUGUUUAAACAUGUCUGUUUUGAUAGUGUUUAUGGUUUUUGAAAAUAUCAAUGGUUAUUUGCUAUUUUAAUUGUCAGUUAUCCAUAUAACUAACCCAAGAAUACUUCAGCCAUAAAAAAAUAGAAUUAAGGAAAUCUUAGUCUUCUAUACUAGCCCCUUUGCCUUUAGUUGGCACUUAGUAAUAAUUAAUAAAGUGGUCUACUGGAGAAUACAGAGGUUCAAAACGCAAUUUUGUCUUGAAGGAGUCAGUUGAACUGUGUCUACUUGAGAGCAAGCAUCUAGACAUUUGGAAGGACCUGAAUAUUUGACUGUUGUCAAUUUCCACUUAGCUAUCCGGCUUUGGCGCACUUAGACCUCCUGGUGGCUCAGGUCGUCCUAUUUUCAAAAUGAUGAUCAUUGGCCAUCUCUCACACAGUGCUCAUUAAGGGAGUUCAUAAAUAAACAGGUGGUUUUCUUUUUUAAGCAUAGCCAAGCACAAAAUGUGACUCUGUUGACAUUUUAUGAGACUUUGUCAUAUGUCCCCUGAACCCCCAAUAAAAGCAAUGUUGCAUCAACUGUGAACUUGUGUUGAUUUCUUGGAAGAGUAUGCUCUCACAAUUUGGGUGUUUUCUCUAGUGUAUAUCAAAGCUAGUUUCAGGAUCUAUGAGGAGCAAAUAAUCUGAUAUGAUGGGAAAUUUUCAAUUUCAAAGCAAUUUCUAAAUAAUCCCACAUUGCCCUUAAUAGACAGCACAGUCAUCUACUCAUAAGUCAGAAACCAAAGUGUGAUCCUUAUCUUUUUCUCUUCCCACCUGUCAAGACCAAUCAGGUGAAUCUCUGGUUUUUCUGUCUUUCCAUUUUUAAAUGUGUCUUCAUCCUCCACCUGUUUAAGACAACCGUCAUAUCACCUGGACUACUGUCUCAUGCCUCCAGUUUCUCCCUUUCACGCUGCCAAAUAGCACCCAGGGAAAUCCAUCUAAACCACAGAUAUGAUCAUAUCGUUCCACAGUUUCAAACUUUUCGCUGGCUUCCCAUUGCCCUUUAACCAUUGUUACAUCUAAGCCCUUCCUAGCCCGGUUCCUGGCCCCAACGUCCUUCUCUGGAAUCCCCAUGUCCCACCGCUUUUGUAGGCCCUUGCCACACAUCUAUGCCAUUUCUUAACGCCCUUGUUCUCUUCUGGGCUUUCUCACACACC